AGUCAGUUGAAAAAAUUUCAACCUAUCUAAUCGUGCCUGGAGGCAGCCGCCCACUUCUCCUAUUCUCCUGCCCUCUCCCCAAUUCUCUUCACGCAUCAGAUCGGAGGACGCGAUCCAUCUGCCCCAGCAAGGUCGAUCAGCCCCGCCUUCCUCAUCUGCAGGAUCGAUCGCCGGCCUCGUCCGCGACCUUCUCCUCCGCGCCCCAGCCCGCUCGAACGCCACUACAGUCCUCGCCGACGGGAUCAGAGUUGCCGGCCUCACCCCCGACGUUCUCUUGUGCACCCAUUCGCUGCUCCCUCCGACGAGUGUUGCUCCGUCCGCACCCACAAGAACGCCUACACCCGCUAGAACGCUACCGCCCGUACACGCUCGAACGCCUCCGCCUGCUCCCGCGAGUACGCCGCCGCCCGCACCCGCGCGAAUGCCGCCACCCUCCUCAAGCAAAUUAAAUUUCAGCUGAAGAAAGUGUAGUUGCGCAUGGUUUUGGUAUGAGGGGACGGCUACAUGUGAAUCCUGGCAAGUAGGCUCUAGACAAUAGCAAAGACUUUUGGCUGGUAUUCUGAAUCGUUAGCCAGACAUUAGAAUAGAUCGUCAUCAGGAAAUUUGUGCCAAGAACAAGAAGAACCGAGAAGCUGUGAAGCAUCACCAAACUACAUGCUCUAGGUCUUAUCCUUCUCAUUUCCACCAACUUACAAGUGCGACAAUGAGGACCCUAGUCUCAUUGAGUUUUUCAGAGAAACACAUACCAAUAGGAAGACAGGAUGUAUGAGCGCCGCUGCCCUUGAGGCUUAUACUAAUAGGGAAACAAAAAGGAGUGAAACAGAACGAGAAGAUGAGCAGAUAUUUGGUGCACAUAUUGUGGCGGAAGUUCUCAAAGAGCACAGCUCCUCAAGCACCUUCCUUUCUACCAUGGGGUACCAAUCAAGAUCUGGGAGGUUGAUGACCCACAAGUAUAGGGGGUGUAUCGUAGUAUUUUCGAUAAGUAAGAAUGUCGAUCCCAACGAGGAGCAGAAGGUGUUGACAAGCAGUUUCGAUGAAGAAUUCCCUGUAAAUGCUCACAGACAAGUAUUCGGGGGGUUUUGAUGUAACAGUUGAAUAAAGUACGAGUAAGUAAAGUGCAAGAAUAACAAUUGCAGCGAGUGGCCCAA